UCUCCAUCCUCCCUGAAAAUAUCUCCUCUUUCUCCGUCCUCCCUCCUCAUCCGGCUCCUCUUCUCCAUGCCGCCGUCGUCGCCUCCUCUUCCCCGUCGCUCACAGCCGCCUCGCCCGCUCCGCCUUCACCACCUCCUCUCGUGGCUCCCGUGUCGGAGUUCAGUGCCAGGGGAAGAGGGAUCGACGAUGGCGCAACAGAGGAGAUGGAGUAGCGUGCUCCUGCCGCCGUCCGACCCCAUCCUUCCUCCGCUCCUCCCCGCCCCUGCCUCCGCCUUGCCGCAUCCUCUGCGCCGUCGUGCCAUCACACCAUCUCCACUUCUGCCCAGCGCCCCGCUGCAGCCGCCUGCUGGUCGUCCUAUUCUAUAUGGAGCUGCACAUCGGCUUCGGCAUCGUCGCCGGCAGCGACUUCAUUCACCGCCUCCUCUAUAUUCAGUCCCUCUCAGACAAACCCAUCCAUGAGACAUCCAUAGCAAACUGAAACUCAAUUUCAUCGCAUUAGUCAAAGCAUGCCAUCACGUAUUCUUUGUUGUUGUCACUGGAAUCCUUUACAACCCGACAUUAUCACUGGAAUUCUUUAGAACCUGACAUUAUCGGGUUUCUUAAUUUUCUCCAUUGGACACUCUCCUAUCUGAAAUAUUAGUCUUGCCUAUUUAAUGGUGGUUCACAUGCAGGUUCAGAGAGUAGCUCACUUGGAUAUGAGCAUAUGUGCAAUCUUGAGUGGUCUCAAGACGAGAUGAAUUAAACAAUGUUGACAUGCUGGUUGUGCUAGGAUGAUUUUGUCAUGUGUCAUGCUUCAAGAAAAGCAGGCUGGUCUUACAUCUAUUUGGAAUAUUUAGAUGGCCAAGGUCAAAGAGUAUCAAGUUGCAGUGUUGCAAGGUAUACCCUGCCUUGGAGAAGGGCAUUCUGUGGGCUGCUUCUACAGAGUAUCAAAUCUGAGAUCAAUCCAGUUUUGAGUUAGGUUACCUAAAGACUCCAUGCACCUCUUCGUCACAUGUCCACUUGCCAACAGGAUAUGGCAACGAAUCGGGUCCUGCCG